rnacentral:rRNA from 1 species
GGUUAAGCGACUAAGCGUACACGGUGGAUGCCCUGGCAGUCAGAGGCGAUGAAGGACGUGCUAAUCUGCGAAAAGCGUCGGUAAGGUGAUAUGAACCGUUAUAACCGGCGAUGUCCGAAUGGGGAAACCCAGUGCAAUUCGUUGCACUAUCGUUAACUGAAUACAUAGGUUAACGAGGCGAACCGGGGGAACUGAAACAUCUAAGUACCCCGAGGAAAAGAAAUCAACCGAGAUUCCCCCAGUAGCGGCGAGCGAACGGGGAGCAGCCCAGAGUCUGAAUCAGCUUGUGUGUUAGUGGAACGGUCUGGAAAGUCCGACGGUACAGGGUGAUAGUCCCGUACACCAAAAUGCACAGGUUGUGAACUCGAAGAGUAGGGCGGGACACGUGGUAUCCUGUCUGAAUAUGGGGGGACCAUCCUCCAAGGCUAAAUACUCCUGACUGACCGAUAGUGAACCAGUACCGUGAGGGAAAGGCGAAAAGAACCCCGGCGAGGGGAGUGAAAAAGAACCUGAAACCGUGUACGUACAAGCAGUGGGAGCACCUUCGGGUGUGACUGCGUACCUUUUGUAUAAUGGGUCAGCGACUUAUAUUCUGUAGCAAGGUUAACCGUAUAGGGGAGCCGCAGGGAAACCGAGUCUUAACUGGGCGUUAAGUUGCAGGGUAUAGACCCGAAACCCGGUGAUCUAGCCAUGGGCAGGUUGAAGGUUGGGUAACACUAACUGGAGGACCGAACCGACUAAUGUUGAAAAAUUAGCGGAUGACUUGUGGCUGGGGGUGAAAGGCCAAUCAAACCGGGAGAUAGCUGGUUCUCCCCGAAAGCUAUUUAGGUAGCGCCUCGUGAACUCAUCUUCGGGGGUAGAGCACUGUUUCGGCUAGGGGGUCAUCCCGACUUACCAACCCGAUGCAAACUACGAAUACCGAAGAAUGUUAUCACGGGAGACACACGGCGGGUGCUAACGUCCGUCGUGAAGAGGGAAACAACCCAGACCGCCAGCUAAGGUCCCAAAGUCAUGGUUAAGUGGGAAACGAUGUGGGAAGGCACAGACAGCCAGGAUGUUGGCUUAGAAGCAGCCAUCAUUUAAAGAAAGCGUAAUAGCUCACUGGUCGAGUCGGCCUGCGCGGAAGAUGUAACGGGGCUAAACCAUGCACCGAAGCUGCGGCAGCGACACUAUGUGUUGUUGGGUAGGGGAGCGUUCUGUAAGCCUGCGAAGGUGUGCUGUGAGGCAUGCUGGAGGUAUCAGAAGUGCGAAUGCUGACAUAAGUAACGAUAAAGCGGGUGAAAAGCCCGCUCGCCGGAAGACCAAGGGUUCCUGUCCAACGUUAAUCGGGGCAGGGUGAGUCGACCCCUAAGGCGAGGCCGAAAGGCGUAGUCGAUGGGAAACAGGUUAAUAUUCCUGUACUUGGUGUUACUGCGAAGGGGGGACGGAGAAGGCUAUGUUAGCCGGGCGACGGUUGUCCCGGUUUAAGCAUGUAGGCUGAUUGUCCAGGCAAAUCCGGAUAAUCAAGGCUGAGGUGUGAUGACGAGGCACUACGGUGCUGAAGUAACAAAUGCCCUGCUUCCAGGAAAAGCCUCUAAGCAUCAGGUAACAUCAAAUCGUACCCCAAACCGACACAGGUGGUCAGGUAGAGAAUACCAAGGCGCUUGAGAGAACUCGGGUGAAGGAACUAGGCAAAAUGGUGCCGUAACUUCGGGAGAAGGCACGCUGGUGUGUAGGUGAAGUCCCUGCGGAUGGAGCUGAGACCAGUCGAAGAUACCAGCUGGCUGCAACUGUUUAUUAAAAACACAGCACUGUGCAAACACGAAAGUGGACGUAUACGGUGUGACGCCUGCCCGGUGCCGGAAGGUUAAUUGAUGGGGUUAUCCGUAAGGAGAAGCUCUUGAUCGAAGCCCCGGUAAACGGCGGCCGUAACUAUAACGGUCCUAAGGUAGCGAAAUUCCUUGUCGGGUAAGUUCCGACCUGCACGAAUGGCGUAAUGAUGGCCAGGCUGUCUCCACCCGAGACUCAGUGAAAUUGAACUCGCUGUGAAGAUGCAGUGUACCCGCGGCAAGACGGAAAGACCCCGUGAACCUUUACUAUAGCUUGACACUGAACAUUGAGCCUUGAUGUGUAGGAUAGGUGGGAGGCUUUGAAGCGUGGACGCCAGUCUGCGUGGAGCCAACCUUGAAAUACCACCCUUUAAUGUUUGAUGUUCUAACGUUGGCCCCUGACCGGGGUUGCGGACAGUGUCUGGUGGGUAGUUUGACUGGGGCGGUCUCCUCCCAAAGCGUAACGGAGGAGCACGAAGGUUAGCUAAUCCUGGUCGGACAUCAGGAGGUUAGUGCAAUGGCAUAAGCUAGCUUGACUGCGAGCGUGACGGCGCGAGCAGGUGCGAAAGCAGGUCAUAGUGAUCCGGUGGUUCUGAAUGGAAGGGCCAUCGCUCAACGGAUAAAAGGUACUCCGGGGAUAACAGGCUGAUACCGCCCAAGAGUUCAUAUCGACGGCGGUGUUUGGCACCUCGAUGUCGGCUCAUCACAUCCUGGGGCUGAAGUAGGUCCCAAGGGUAUGGCUGUUCGCCAUUUAAAGUGGUACGCGAGCUGGGUUUAGAACGUCGUGAGACAGUUCGGUCCCUAUCUGCCGUGGGCGCUGGAGAAUUGAGGGGGGCUGCUCCUAGUACGAGAGGACCGGAGUGGACGCAUCACUGGUGUUCGGGUUGUCAUGCCAAUGGCACUGCCCGGUAGCUAAAUGCGGAAGAGAUAAGUGCUGAAAGCAUCUAAGCACGAAACUUGCCCCGAGAUGAGUUCUCCCUGAGACU